CCUACGGGCGGCUGCAGUGAGGAAUAUUGGUCAAUGGGCGGGAGCCUGAACCAGCCAAGCCGCGUGAGGGAAGAAGGUACAGCGUAUCGUAAACCUCUUUUGUCAGGGAACAAAGGCGGGGACUAGUCCCCGGAUGAGGGUACCUGAAGAAAAAGCAUCGGCUAACUCGGUGCCAGCAGCCGCGGUAAUACGGAGGAUGCGAGCGUUAUCCGGAUUUAUGGGGGUUAAAGGGUGCGCAGGCGGCCUGUUAAGUCAGCGGUAAAAGCCCGGGGCUCAACCCUGGCGAGCCGUUGAAACUGGGGAGCUGGAGUGGGAGAGAGGUACGCGGAAUGCGCGGUGUAGCGGUGAAAUGCUUAGAUAUCGCGCAGAACCCCGAUUGCGAAGGCAGCGUACCGGCUCCACACUGACGCUGAGGCACGAAAGCGUGGGUAUCGAACAGGAUUAGAUACCCCUGUAGUC
rnacentral:rRNA from 1 species